rnacentral:rRNA from 1 species
UACGAAGGGGGGCUAGCGUUGCUCGGAAUUACUGGGCGUAAAGGGCUCGUAGGCGGCCAACUAAGUCAUACGUGAAAUCCCUCGGCUUAACCGAGGAACUGCCUCCCAAACUGCUUGGCUUGAGACCGGGAGAGGUGAGUGGAAUUCCCCAGUGUAGCGGUGAAAUGCGUAGAUAUUGGGGAGGAACACCAGUGGCGAAGGCGGCUCACUGGACCGGUACUGACGCUGAUGCGCGAAAGCGUGGGGAGCAAACGGG